rnacentral:misc_RNA from 1 species
UGCAUCUAUUACCUGUGCACAUCGGGUAACACUAUCAACUAGCUAUCAAGUAUCAAUAAGUUAAAAUAGCGAAAAAAAAGUCAUAAUUUAUACUGAGUAACAAGAUAUUUAAAUUAAUAUAAGUUAAUACAGCAAAUUAAAUAAUUAAAUACCGAUGACAAUAACAGGACUGGAGGAGAUGCCUGUCACGGUGUGAACUACAAAACACAAAGCUAUUUCUUUAACCCCCGUUUUGGUCGAGAUGUAGCCACCUUGCUUUCCGGCUGUUUCUGGACGGCAGUGGUGUUUUUAGACGGCGACUUAGAUGCUUCUGUCGAACUGGAUCCUGGGAUUUUAUCGAGGUCAGCCAGACACUCUGCCCGAUGCCGCGUUCCGUCCGGGGUAAUUACGAAGAUUGUGCCUUCACGUGUCCAGCACCGACUGACACCAAACCUCUCUCUAGCCACAAGGAAUGCAUCAUGACGAACCUUAGUUAAGAAUUCUGAUUGUGUGACACCAGUUCCUUUCAACUUCGUCUUGGCGUACCAGACUUCACGGACUGCGAUAUCUCUAAAGCGAACCACAAUAGGACGCGGUUUCCCCCCAGAUGGACGGCCUAUCUAUACGAGGUUUUGAUGCUGGUACUAGAGAAAUUGGCUAGGUUCAAAUUCUCACCAACAAUGCCGGCACGCGCCGAUGUAUCUUCACCCUUGUCUUCAGGGACACCGUAGAAAAGAAUCAGCUUGCAUCUAGUCUUCAUCUCUUGACGGUCAAUAACUAGGGUCAAAAAUUCGACUUGCCGCUGGAGUGCUGUGAGAGCAGAAAGAAUGAACCUUUUGAAGUUGUUGAAGUCUGCAGCCAAUGAUGUGGUAGUCGCAGGAGGCGAAGUCUUCAACAAAUCUUGCUGAAAUUUAUACAUCUGGGCUUAAAAUGUUUCAGUCAGAGAUGCCACUGUGUCUUUCAAGAAAUCCAUAUUGAUAACGAUGUUUAGGGGUGAUUUUUAGUGAGAGGAAUUACUUGCUGUGCAAAAAGGCUACGGCUAAGAGCAGCAUCCUGAGAGGGGUAGCUCAAACAAAGAACGAAUCGUGGCGGCGUAAGCCUAGCAUACGUCCUAGGAAUGUGAAAAA